rnacentral:rRNA from 1 species
ACGGGAGGCAGCAGUAGGGAAUAUUGGUCAAUGGGCGCAAGCGUGAACCAGCCAUGCCGCGUGCAGGAUGACAGUCUUAGGGCCGUAAACUGCUUUUAUACAAGACUAAUAGUGAUCUGUGGGUCAUGAUGAAGGUAUUGUAAGAAUAAAUACCGGCUAAUUCCGUGCCAGCAGCCGCGGUAAUACGGAAGGUGUAAGCGUUAUCCGGAUUUACUGGGUUUAAAGGGUAUGUAGGCGGUUGUAUGUGUCAGCGGUGAAAUGCCAGUGCUUAACAUUCGGAAUUGCCGUUGAAACUGUACAUCUAGAAUAUUGGGGAGGUAAGCAGAAUUUGUAGUGUAGCAGUAAAAUGCAUAGAUACUAUGAGGAAUACCAACAGCGAAGGCAGCUUAUCAUUCAAUUAUUGACGCUGAUAUACGAAAGCGUGGGGAGCAAACAGGAUUAGAUACCCUGGUA